rnacentral:rRNA from 1 species
UAUGGACGCAAGUCUGAACCAGCCAUGCCGCGCUGCAGGAAGACAGCUCUAUGAGUUGUAAACUGCUUUUGUACUAGGGUAAACGCUCCUACGUGUAGGAGUCUGAAAGUAUAGUACGAAUAAGGAUCGGCUAACUCCGUGCCAGCAGCCGCGGUAAUACGGAGGAUCCGAGCGUUAUCCGGAUUUAUUGGGUUUAAAGGGAGCGUAGAUGGAUGUUUAAGUCAGUUGUGAAAGUUUGCGGCUCAACCGUAAAAUUGCAGUUGAUACUGGAUAUCUUGAGUGCAGUUGAGGCAGGCGGAAUUCGUGGUGUAGCGGUGAAAUGCUUAGAUAUCACGAAGAACUCCGAUUGCGAAGGCAGCCUGCUAAGCUGCAACUGACAUUGAGGCUCGAAAGUGUGGGUAUCAAACAGGAUUAGAUACCCUGGUAGUCCAAGGGCGAAUUC